CGGUCCCACCUGACCCCAUGCCGAACUCAGAAGUGAAACGCCGUAGCGCCGAUGGUAGUGUGGGGUCUCCCCAUGCGAGAGUAGGGAACUGCCAGGC
rnacentral:rRNA from 1 species